UACCUGCAGCUCAAGUGGUGAUCAUUAUUAUUGGGCCUAAAACGUCCGUAGCCGGUUUAGUAAAUGCCUGGGUAAAUCGUGUAGCUUAACUAUACUACUUCCGGGUAGACUACUAAACUUGAGACCGGGAGAGGCUAGAGGUACUCCUGGGGUAGAGGUGAAAUUCUGUAAUCCUAGGGGGACCACCAGUGGCGAAGGCGUCUAGCUGGAACGGGUCUGACGGUGAGGGACGAAGCCCUGGGGCACAAACCGGAUUAGAUACCCGGGUAGUCCAGGGUGUAAACGCUGCUUGCUUGAUGUUAGUUGGGCUCCGAGCCCCAACUAGUGUCGGAGAGAAGUUGUUAAGCAAGCUGCCUGGGAAGUACGGUCGCAAGGCUGAAACUUAAGGAACUGGCGGGGAGCACAGCAACGGGUGGAGCGUGCGGUUU
rnacentral:rRNA from 1 species